AUACGUAGGUGACAAGCGUUAUCCGGAUUUACUGGGCGUAAAGGGCGUGUAGGCGGUCUUGCAAGUCAGAAGUGAAAUUCCUGAGCUCAACUCGGGCGCUGCUUCUGAAACUGCAGGACUUGAGUGCUGGAGGGGAUAGCGGAAUUCCUAGUGGAGCGGUAAAAUGCGCAGAUAUUAGGAAGAACACCGGUGGCGAAGGCGGCUAUCUGGACAGUAACUGACGCUGAGGAGCGAAAGUGUGGGGAGCAAACAGGAUUAGAUACCCUGGUAGUCCACACCGUAAACGAUGGAUACUAGGUGUGCGGGGACUGACCCCCUGCGUGCCGCAGUUAACACAAUAAGUAUUCCGCCUGGGGAGUACGGCCGCAAGGUUGAAACUCAAAGGAAUUGACGGGG
rnacentral:rRNA from 1 species